AAAAAAUUGACCUAUAACAAAUAUAGCAAGUAAUUUACGCCAUGAAGAUAUUAUUUAUGCAGAAUUGUAUAGUUUUCAAUAACAUUUCAGCGAUUUGGCCAUAUGUUAUUGAAAAGAAUGAUUAAUGCAGUGUAUCAAAUUUUAUUCAAUGGCAUCUAUGUGUUAAUUGGGUUACACUGUUGCAUGAUGUCAUGUUAAGUUUUCCCCAACCCCUUUCUUGCUUUCAAGUUGAAAUGAUAUAUGCAUUUGAAUAAUGUAGAAGCUGAAUAAAUCCAAUAAGACAGAAUAAUCAACAAUAGUCAAAUGUCCCGUAUAGUCUAGAGGGGUUGACACAGGAGGUUCUCAUUUCCCAAAUCCUGCUUUAUUCUUUCUUUUUCCCAGAUCCCAAACCUCCACUUUUUAACCCCUGUAUUUUGGACAUCCAAAAAGUGUGCAACCCCCUCACUAACUGCCAUAUAUUCUUUAAAUUACAAAUUUAACUACAAAUAGGCAGUGACAUUAAUAUUAAGCAUUACACUUAUUCAUUCCCCUUAUAGUGGUUUGAUAUCAACAGUAAGUCAGAACUCUUGACAACAGAAAGUGUUUUCAACAAAUGGGC
rnacentral:lncRNA from 1 species